CACGUAGGGGGCAAGCGUUGUCCGGAAUCAUUGGGCGUAAAGAGCUCGUAGGCGGCUCAGUAAGUCGGGUGUGAAACCCUCAGGCUCAACCUGGGGACGCCACCCGAUACUGCUGUGGCUAGAGUCCAGUAGGGGAGUGUGGAAUUCCCGGUGUAGCGGUGAAAUGCGCAGAUAUCGGGAGGAACACCAGUGGCGAAGGCGGCUCACUGGCCCGAUACUGACGCUGAGGCACGAAAGCCAGGGGAGCAAACGGG
rnacentral:rRNA from 1 species